UCCCAUAUCUUUUUCAGAUUUGAAACCUCCUGCGUUUCUGGGAAGCACACCAAGUCAAGAGAGGAGAGCUACUGGGAGUCUACAUGCUCAUGCUUGAUGAAUAGAUUUCUUUCAAUUCAAUAUCAACAAGUGUGGUUUACUGAUUCUUUAGGAGGAAAAGAAACUGAGGAAAGUGCCGAGGUUCGCUAACGCUUGUGGAGCCAUCACGACAACCAAGAAAGGAGCCAUUCCAGCUCUUCCUUCAGACAGUGAAGCUCUCAGCUUUAUUAAAGACCACCAGAGACGUAGUAACAACCCUUUUAAGUUCAAAAAUUGCGCUUCUUAUAUUGUAGUAAUUGCUCAUGAUUCUUAUUUGAGAUAAAAAAAAAGAUCUCAAUGUUGUAUCUCUUCUGUUUGUAUCCUUCAUCUCUUGCUAAUAGAAGAAUAAAAAGAGUUUGUUCUUUUUUU